rnacentral:pre_miRNA from 1 species
UUUCUACUCCCUCCGUCCGGAAUUACUUGUCGCGGAAAUGGAUGAAAAUGAAUGUAUCUAUAACUAAAAUACGUCUAGAUACAUCCAUUUCUAUGACAAGUAUUUCCGGACGGAGGGAGUACAUG